AGGAUGGAUUUUUGGAGUGGCUGACUUCCAGUGAAUUUGUUGCUUUGUCUCGAGAGGUUGAGAAGUUUAUCACUGAUUGUGAGACCAUUAGUGGUCGUCGCUGUAUGUCACUGCAUGAGAUUCUGUCUACAGUCACAGGCACUUAAAUUUGUGAACAGAUUUCAUGAAGAAAGACAGACUAAACUCAGCCUCAUUUUGGACAAU